rnacentral:tRNA from 1 species
GCCUCCUUAGCUCAGUGGUAGAGCACUCGCCUUGUAAGCGAAAGGUCGUCAGUUCAAUCCUGACAGGGGGCUCCU